UACAGAGGUCCCAAGCGUUGUUCGGAUUCACUGGGCGUAAAGGGCGCGUAGGCGGUGCGGUAAGUCCGCAGUGAAAUCUCUGGGCUCAACUCAGAGUCUGCUGUGGAAACUGCCGUGCUAGAGUGUGGGAGAGGUGAGUGGAAUUCCCGGUGUAGCGGUGAAAUGCGUAGAUAUCUGGAGGAAUACCGGUGGCGAAGGCGGCAUCCUGGACCGGCAUUGACGCUGAGGAGCGAAAGCUAGGGGAGCAAACGGG
rnacentral:rRNA from 1 species